AUACAGAGGGUGCGAGCGUUAAUCGGAAUUACUGGGCGUAAAGCGCGCGUAGGCGGUUAUUUAAGUCAGAUGUGAAAUCCCUGGGCUCAACCUAGGAACUGCAUCUGAAACUGGGUAACUAGAGUUUAGGAGAGGGGAGUAGAAUUUCGGGUGUAGCGGUGAAAUGCAUAGAGAUCCGAAGGAAUACCAGUGGCGAAGGCGGCUCCCUGGCCUAGAACUGACGCUGAGGUGCGAAAGCGUGGGUAGCAAACGGGAUUAGAAACCCUAGUAGUCC
rnacentral:rRNA from 1 species